rnacentral:rRNA from 1 species
CCUACGGGAGGCAGCAGUGAGGAAUAUUGGUCAAUGGGCGUAAGCCUGAACCAGCCAAGUCGCGUGAGGGAUGAAGGUUCUAUGGAUCGUAAACCUCUUUUAUAAGGGAAUAAAGUGUGGGACGUGUCCUGUGUUGUAUGUACUUUAUGAAUAAGGAUCGGCUAACUCCGUGCCAGCAGCCGCAGUAAUACGGAGGAACCGAGCGUUAUCCGGAUUUAUUGGGUUUAAAGGGAGCGUAGGCCGCAUGUCAAGCGUGCUGUGAAAUGUCCGGGCUCAACCCGGGCCUUGCAGCGCGAACUGGCGUGCUUGAGUCCGCGGAAAGCAGGCGGAAUUCGUCGUGUAGCGGUGAAAUGCUUAGAUAUGACGAAGAACCCCGAUUGCGAAGGCAGCUUGCUGCAGCGGAACUGACGCUGAUGCUCGAAAGCGCGGGUAUCGAACAGGAUUAGAUACCCGGGUAGUC